rnacentral:rRNA from 1 species
GACGAACGCUUGCGGCGUGCCUAAGAAAUGCAAGUCGAACGGACAGGUCAGCAAUGGCCUGUUAGUGGCGAACGGUCGCGUAACACGUAAGCAACCUGCCCUGAAGUGGGGAGUAACAGUCCGAAAGGAUUGCUAAUACCGCAUGUGGUCAUCGUUUCGUCAUGGGAGUGAUGUCUAAAGGCUGUAGCAAUACAGUCGCUUCUGGAU